UUACUGAAACAGACAAGUCUGUGAGGUCACAACAGACCAAAGCCAUCCGGAAACAGUAAGAGUGACCUCAACUGUCCUGUGUGUGUCAGGGAAACCGAGUUUACCAUUGACGACCUCCCCAAAACACUCCAGACCCAACAGCCUCACAUCCUCAAGCUCUUCUAAGUGGUUGUGGAAACUGCACCAGUGCCUGGUCAUGAGUUGGACACGCCUAGGUUGAAGUCUGGCUCCUGACUUUGGACAAGCUCUCCAAACCCACUUCAUCACCGCUAAGUAACAGUAACUGCUUCGCAGCAUCCUUGUGAGGCUUAAAUAAGGACUUUAAUGCAAGCUGCUGUGUAGAGCACCUCACACAGUGCCGGGACAAUACGGUCAGACGGGAACCUGAUCAUAUCGCCUCCGCCCUCUGUGGAACAGUACUCAAAGCUCUUAACCCACAGCCUCAGUUCAGACAUAGACAUGGAGAGACGCCUGCAGACAGUCUAGUCAUCUGCCAAAACGGAACCAUGAGGUCGACAAAACAACACUCACCCUCCCUGGGCAUCACGUGCUCCCACGGACACAGAAGAACGCCAUGUCCAGGAGACGGGACAGCAUGUGUUUGUGACGUGCCUUGCUAGAUCCUCCUUGCAUCUAUACCCAGCCUCCUUCUGUUCUCAGAGAUCUGUGCUCACACCCAUCUUCCCCUCAUGGAACUUUUCAGCUGACCAGCUCCCCUUUGCCUUGAAAUACUCUGCUGUGACACUGCCAUUGCAUGAUCCCUGGUCUUCUUUCUUGUGUCCCAUAGCACCCCAGGCCUCCCCCAUCCUUCCCAUAACA